ACCAUUUAAAUACAACUUUUUUUCCCCCCAAAUUUUAAGUAAUUAAAUUACAUAUUUAAUUUCAGAUUAAGCAGUUGUUAAUGUUAUUCCGUAGCAAAUACAUUUAUAAAAGAAAAGAACAAGAAAAGAAAGGUGGCAUGCUCAAAAGGUUCUUUUUUUUCUUUUCUUGUAAGAUAGAAGAUCGAAGAUAGAAAUUAAUAGCUAUUUGCAUGCUGUUAUUAUUCAACUAGCGUGCAGUUUUCCAAAGCCCUUCAUGCACCUUGACUUAAAUAUUGGUUGGCUUUUUAGAACUUCAAGCCUCUGAAAUUUUGAGUAGUUUGUCAUAGUGCCAACACAAAGUCAUUCUAAUUCCUUACAGGCAAGGAAAAAAGGAACAUCAAAAGGAGAAAAGAAAAAAAAUUAUUAGAUGGGACUAGGGCACAUUCUCGUACUUUUGUAAAUUAGUGAUCUCAACACUUUCUUGAAGUAUGUGAAACCCACUGAUUAUUAGAAAAUCAAAGUGCAAAUCUUGUCCUACUUAUUAAGAAAUUAAAAUCUUUUUAUUUUGGGUACCCAUCAAACUAAAUUACACAAUGAGAGUAGCACUGAGCUCCCUUGCUUUAAUUAAUCUCUAUUUUCUAAGUCCUUACACUUGAAUAUAUGAACUUAAUUGAUUAGAUUAGCUAACAAAAGCAUUAAUGUUUACUUGUUUUAGACUUAAUUAUCAAAUAAAAGACAAGAAUACUCUAUAUUCUUUGAUUGGAACAAGACUAAAGUAAUUUAGGAUGAAAAUUGCAGGAAGAAGGA
rnacentral:misc_RNA from 1 species